AUUGAACGCUGGCGGCAGGCCUAACACAUGCAAGUCGAGCGGAUGAAGGGAGCUUGCUCCUGGAUUCAGCGGCGGACGGGUGAGUAAUGCCUAGGAAUCUGCCUGGUAGUGGGGGAUAACGUCCGGAAACGGGCGCUAAUACCGCAUACGUCCUGAGGGAGAAAGUGGGGGAUCUUCGGACCUCACGCUAUCAGAUGAGCCUAGGCCGGAUUAGCUAGUUGGUGGGGUAAAGGCCUACCAAGGCGACGAUCCGUAACUGGUCUGAGAGGAUGAUCAGUCACACUGGAACUGAGACACGGUCCAGACUCCUACGGGAGGCAGCAGUGGGGAAUAUUGGACAAUGGGCGAAAGCCUGAUCCAGCCAUGCCGCGUGUGUGAAGAAGGUCUUCGGAUUGUAAAGCACUUUAAGUUGGGAGGAAGGGCAGUAAGUUAAUACCUUGCUGUUUUGACGUUACCAACAGAAUAAGCAUCGGCUAACUUCGUG
rnacentral:rRNA from 1 species